UUAUUAGCUAACAAGAGGCCACGACACAAGCGCAAGGGCCCAAGAGACAAUUCUAAGAAACCUAAUUCCCUCUAUAGACCAAAUUUACUCAUCCCAUCACAACCGCUUCUUCUUCUUCACGACUUCUAAAGGGUUUUUUUACUUUCAAGAAUGGAGUGAAUCACUUACUAUUUGGAGAUGGGCGCAUAUGGGUGCUGGUAAGUCUACUUGUAUAUUUGGUAACUUAAGAAAAAAUUUUCUUUAGGAAUCGGUGGGUUUUUUGAGAGAGAGGAGGGAGACAAAGGGAGAGAGUGUUAUUAAGUUAUAAAACCUUGAAAGGGGUUGUUUGGAGGGAAAUAAAAUUUGGGAAAGUGAGAGAAUUAUGGGUUUUGGAGUGUUCUGAGAAAGCAAGGGAAAUCUUUUAGUUUUAUUUGAUGUGAUUUUAAUGUGUGAAACCAUGUGAUGGAAAAUCAUGAGGCCGGCGAUAAUACGGCUCUUCGAUUGCUCUGUUUAAUGAUAAAACUCAAUUUUGAGUAACUGACCAAUAUUAUAUAUUUAUUAAUAUUUUUUUUGAAAUAAUAUAUUUAUUAAUCUAGAAGCAUCAAAUCCCAAAAAUUUCCCUUAAUAAGAAUAUAGAUUUUAAUAAAUCACACAAAUUAUUUCAUAAUUCGUACAGGUAAGGAAGAAUCUAUAAUAACCGAAUAAUGAGGAGUAGUGAUUAAUUCUCAAAAUAUAGAAAUUAUUUAACAACAAUAUAAAAUAAUGAAUAAAAUUAAAGAUGGAGUAUAUAAAGGAGAAAUAAAAAAUAAUAAUCACAUAAACAUAAAUUGUUUACGAAAAGUAUUUGCAAAUUUAAAUUAGUUUUGACAUAAAUACUUUAUUGGAUGAGAUUUGUCUACUGAACUACUAUUAUUAUGCUUUAACUAUAUGGAAAGAAAUUUUACUGACCUUUUAAAUGUUCCAUCAAAGCUUUAAAGAAGAAAUCAGAGUGUAUUACUUCAAUAUCCCUGAAAAGAGAAAAAAAUUUCAAUAGAUGUGCAUUUAGUCUUCUUAAUUGUUGAACAUGAAUGGUAAACUUGUAGGAAAAUGAUCUUUUAUUUUUUACCUUCUCAGCAGCUUAUAAGAACUUAUGUUUCAAAUUUACGACUGUCUUAAUAUAGGAUUUAUAAAUAGAUGAGAUGGUUUUUAUUGUGUAUGUGAAUACUAAUGGUUGUGUCUUAUGGCAAUGGUUAUAUCUUUUCUCAAAUAUUGCAUUGCUUGACUGAAUACUAAUGGUUGUGUCUUAUUAUAUAUUUAUCUGAAUUACAUAUAUUAUAUGUUUUUGGAAAAUUAAAAUACGUGGACUCCACAAUAAUAAGUGAUUGGUAGGUUGUUUUCUAAAACUCAUUUCAAAUACGUAUCUUAGUUUUAUGUAGUAAAAUAGAAAACGAGAAAUUCUCGUUUUCUAUGUUUAUAUUUUAAAUCUAUGGGCCCCCGUGUAUUUCUUUUUCCUCUUCUGUCUAACAACUAUUCCCACCGUCAUCCUAAUUACUGAGAUUCUGAAACGCAGUGGAAUGGCAGUUCAAAAGAAUAUAAGGACAUCUACUAUCGGAGCCAGAGAGGAAAAGAAAGAUUGAGAUUUUGCUGAGAAUGGCUGAUAAGAUGGAUGGGAACUCAGUUGUUUCCACAUCCAAUUAAGAAGACAGGCUGCUGCUGCUGCGGCUGAAUAACAAGUGUUCGGGGGUCAAUUCCAUUGCUUUGGGAGCAAGUAGUGGAUUUGACAUAUAAUCCCAAGUUUCAGCUUGUGAAAGUAGAGGAAGUUGUUCUGUCUUUGAAGGUUUAUCCUUGUGACCAUUCUCUUCAAAAUUCCAAUGCACAAUAGAAGAAGAUGGAAGCUGAGUUUUUUGCCUCCUCAAUAUUGUUGAAAAGAUUUGCGGUUUGUUUUUCUCUUAUGAAACGAAUCUAACUCUCAGUGUACAGAGAUUGCAUGAUAUGGGGGAUGAAUCUAAGUUGCUUCCUCUUUGGAGACAGGCAGAACCUAGGUUUUUAUGGAACAACUAUAUGUUGGAAGUGCUCAUAGAUAACAAGCUUGAUCCCUUCUUGCUUCCUGUUAUCCAAGGGAGCUUCCAACACUUUCAAGCAACAAUAGGGAAGGAUGUAAUUGAUGUCCCUCUGAUUUCUAGGAGAUGCACGAGGAGAAAUGGCACUUAUGUGAAAAGUUUGGAACUUCCAUGCAACCUAUCAUUAGUGAUGACGUGAGAUAUUUGCACUUCGAUUUUCAUAAAAUUCGCGGGGAUGUUCAUUUUGAGCGCCUAUUUAUUCUCUACGAACAAAUUUAUGUUUUUCUCGACAGAAAUGGAGGGCAAGAUCAUUCGCUUCCCAACAUUAGAUGCAUUCCUUUCGCCAAGAGUAAUGGUAUCAACAAUACCUUGAUAUAUCUUUGAGCGAAAAUCAUUUUGGUUGCUUCUAAAAUAAUCCAACCUUGACAUCAACCACAAAUUGUUGGUUACAUACAUAUCAACCACAAAUUGUUGUAACAGUCUUCCAGAAAUUAAUAAGAUUGAGUUGGCAUUUUCUCGAAUUUGUAAUUUGUAGCAAUAGUAUUCACGGCAUGAAACUAUCGGACCUUGUCUACAUUGUUUAGUCAUGAAAUUUUUGAAUGUAAGUUAAGUGAUUAUAAGUUGGAUGUGCAUACUUAAGUAAUUUUUAAAACAUUAAUAUUAUUAGCAUUUUGUAAACAUUAAAGUUUUAAUCUAACCUCGUUCUUCCCUUGCUAUCAAUUCGUCAGCAUUUAUUGAUUGUUGAGGUAGUAUUGAAUGAUUUGUUUCGUUAUAUAUAGAUUCGUCUCCUCGACUAACCCUUUUAAUUCCUUGAUGCCAUCCAAUAUCUCCGAAAGGGAACAAUAGCGGAUAUUGUAGUGGAUCAUAACAAUCAAAAUAGUAUUGAACUUUAUGGUUUCCACCUGAAUGGUUAUGGACAAAAAUGUCACGAGGUUUUAGUUGUUCUCCUUCAUUAUUUUCGACCAAUAUUGCUGCAACUUGUGACGAUGUGGGGGCAUUGAAAACCCGUUGAUCGAGUCCUGGAUCUGUCCUUAUAAGAAUUGUUUGGUUUUCCAAAUCUUCUAAAUCACCCAACGAACGGAAAAAAAUUGAAUAUGGAUUAAUUUGAAGAAUCUUGAUUAGUUGAGUGACAAUUGAUUGUAUCAUAGAAGUACAACUGCAAAUAAGAAGGAUGACCAUUCGAGGGUAGCAAAUCAUUGAUGUAAUGAUAUAUCUGUCCUUGAGUUCUAAAAGUAUAAAUCCCUUUAUGAUCUUUAUCAAAAUUUACUCCGAAUGAGGUAAAUGCGAACUUGUUGUUGCAAGUGCGAAUGUAUGUCCUAAAAUGUAUGGAUUCAUUUGUGUUCCCGGUAAACAAAUCAAGAAGUUGUUUAAGUACAUCAUUUGUGGUUAAGGAAAUCCUUCCAUUACCACAACAAAAGCUAGUUGUCUCAUGUGGGAAUCGCUUUGUUUUGUAAUGUGUAUAUCUAGGCAUUAAUUUUAACAAAUAAGGUUUUGAUGGUACGACCUCUAACAUUAUAAUCAUUAGUGAUAGGGACUUCACGGGCAUUCCAUAUAGCCAUUGGGUCACUUACAAAUCUAUCAGAAUCAUCAUGGGCAAUUGAUGUGGAUUCAUUGAUAUGAAUCAUAUUGUUUCUUGAAUUUUCUUGUCUAGCAUAUAUUUCUCUUCAUUUUCUACGGCUUCCUCUUUCUUUUCUUCUGAUAAAUCAUUAUGAACUUUUCUUUUUCCUUUACGAUAUGGAUUAUUUAAUGAAGAUUUUUGUUUAGGACUACCCACAAAUCGUUGAGAAUCAUCAUCGGCAAUUGAUGUAGAUUUAUUUAUAUGAAUUAGAUUAUUUCUUGAAGUUUUUUUUUUGGCAUAUAUUUCUCUCCGUCUUUUGCGGAGCUCCUCCUUCUUUUCUUAACAUAAAUCUCUAUAAAGUUUUCUUCUUUCAUUGCGAAUCAGAUUGUUUCUUGAAGCCUUUUGUUUUGAAGUACCUGCUAAUCUUUGAGAAUCAUCAUGGCUAAUUGAUGUGGAUUCAUUUAUACGAA